AAUCCUUGCUCUCUGGGUGCUAGUGCUGUCUCCAUGCAAUGCACCUGGGCAAGGAUUCA
rnacentral:pre_miRNA from 1 species